UAAAAUGAUCCCCACCUCUCUAAAAUAAUCCCCAUCUCUCCAAAAUAAUGCCCAUCUCUCUAAAAAGUUGUGCAUGAAUAUGGGAGGCAGUAACUCCCAACCCUAAACAUUUCUCAAGACCGAUAGCGUAUUAGUAGCGUGAGUGAACGUUGAAAAGAUCCCUUAACAGGGAGUGAAAAGAUCCUGAAAUUAAAUGGUUACAGUUUGUAGCGGCACUAAGGUGUUGCUGCUUUCGUAUUGAAAUAUGAGCUAGCGAGUUUAUUUUUGUGGCGAGGUUAAGUCUUCUGGAUGGAGCCGUAGGGAAACCGAGUGUGAAAGCGCGAUAGUCACAGGAAUAAGACCUGAAGCCCGACGAGCUAUGCUUGGGCACGGUGAAGUGGGGGUAAGACCCCGUGGAGGCCGGAAGAGUUUCUGCGAGCACGCGUUCUUAUGACCUGAGUAUAGGGGUGAAAUGCUAAUCGAGUUGGGCAAUAGCUGGUUCCCACAGAAAUAAGCCGUAGUUUAGUCUAGGUGGAGCAGUCUGUUAGUGUAGAGUACAGAUUGUAUGGUUUUGGGGAGCAAUCCCUUGCCAUACUGUCUAACUCCGAAGCUCUCAGAUGCGUAGAAGCCUGGAAAAAGUGGUUCGGGUUAAGCUUGAAUCACGAGAGGGGAACAACCCAGAGGACAGUUAAGGCCCCAAAAUGCUGAUUAAGUGUACUUAAGGUUUUUUUGGUCGUAGACAUCGAGGAGGUGGGCUUAGAAGCAGCCAUCCUCUAAGGAUAUCGUAACAGAUCACUCGAUGAGGCCUUAGGGACCGCAAAUGGACGGGACUAAAAUCAGAUGCCGAUACUGUCCCCCGCUGCGUAAGCAGUGCCGGGGUAUGUGGGCGGUUUGCGUGGACAGAAGUGUGCUUGUGAAGGUGCAUGGACCGCGUAAUCAUGUGAAUGCUAGCAGUAGUAGUAUCUAAGUGAGGUGAGAAACCUCAUCGUCGAAAGAGCAAGGGUUCCUUGGCACUGUUUGUCAGCCAAGGGUUAGUCGAUCCUAAGUCUGAAUCCUAACCGAUUUAGACGAAAGGGAAACUGGUUAAUAUUCCAGUACCAUGCGAAAAUAAAGGUGACGCUUUAAGAUAAAUUGAGCAGACUUGUCUGUCUGUCUAAGUGUUUAAAAUUGGGGAGUUAUGUCAUGUAGAGAACCGAUUGAAUGCAUUAUGGGCCGCAAGGUUCAGUUGAGUCUUAGAGCCUUUGAAAAACCGAUUCGUAUGUUCGUACCCAGAACCGACACUGGUGCUCUGGCUGAGUAAGCCAAGACGUGUGAGAAUAAUCAUCCUCAGGGAAUUCGGCAAAAUGGUCCUGUGACUUCGGUUGAAGGGAUCCCAGCUAUUGUGAUUUUUAUUGUGAUUGCUGGGCUAAGAUAUUGGAUCGGCCCGACUGUUUAACAAAAACGUAGCCGGCUGCAAGAUAGGAAUGUUUAGUAUAGCCGGUGACUUCUGCCCAGUGCUAGUAUCUGAAAGCGGUUUUCAAGCUGCCUAAGGACUGGUAAACGGCGGGGGUAACUAUGACCCUCUUAAGGUAGCGAAAUACCUUGGCCAUUAAAUGUGGUCGUGCAUGAAUGGAGUAACGAGGCUGAUACUGUCCCUAGGAUGAACCUCAUGAACUUACUAUUCUGGGGAACGGGCCAGAGACUUCUAGUGGGACGAUAAGACCCCGUAGAGCUUUACUGUAGCUUGUAGCUGUUAAUUUGUGAUGUUUGCAUAGCGUAUAUGGGAGGCGUCGAAGCAAAGUUUUCGGACUUUGUGGAGCCGACAAUGUAACACCAUACCUUCGUUAUGGAUUGACUUACCUUAAUGGGAACACCUAUAGGCGGACAGUUUGAGUGGGGCGCUACCCUCCCGAAAGAAUAUCGGGAGGACCCUAAGAUCAGCUCAGUCCGGUUGGAAACCGGAUGUCGAGGGCAAGACCAAAAGCUGGUUUAAUUGAGAUCUGAAAAGCAAGGAUUUCAGGUACGAAAGUAGGGU
rnacentral:rRNA from 1 species